rnacentral:rRNA from 1 species
GACGAACGCUGGCGGCGUGCUUAACACAUGCAAGUCGAACGGGCUCUGUCUGGCUGUGUGCUGGGUGGGGUUAGUGGCGAACGGGUGAGUAAUACGUGAGUAACCUGCCCUCUUCUUUGGGAUAAGCCUUGGAAACGGGGUCUAAUACUGGAUAUUCCUGUCUGGUCGCAUGGCUGGGUGGGGAAAGUUUUUUUCGGUGGGGGAUGGGCUCGCGGCCUAUCAGCUUGUUGGUGGGGUGAUGGCCUACCAAGGCGUCGACGGGUAGCCGGCCUGAGAGGGUGACCGGCCACACUGGGACUGAGAUACGGCCCAGACUCCUACGGGAGGCAGCAGUGGGGGAUAUUGCACAAUGGGCGCAAGCCUGAUGCAGCGACGCCGCGUGGGGGAUGACGGCUUUCGGGUUGUAAACCUCUUUCGUCGGGGGACAAGGCUCUGCUUGGUGGUGGGGUUGAGGGUACCCGGUGAAGAAACGCCGGCUAACUACGU